ensembl:lncRNA
AGGUAAUGUUGUAAUACACAAUGUAUUAUAGUGGAGGUAAUGUUGUAAUACACAAUGUAUUAUAGUGGAGGUAAUGUUGUAAUACACAGUGUAUCAUAGUGGAGGUAAUGUUGUAAUACACAGUAUAUUAUAAUAGAGGUAAUGUUGUAAUACACAGUGUAUUAUAGUAGAGGUAAUGUUGUAAUACACAAUGUAUUAUAGUGGAGGUAAUGUUGUAAUACACAGUGUAUUAUAGUGGAGGUAAUGUUGUAAUACACAGUGUAUCAUAGUGGAGGUAAUGUUGUAAUACACAGUGUAUCAUAGUGGAGGUAAUGAAGCAUCUGUUCUCCCAGUGUAAUACACAGUGUAUUAUAGUGGAGGUAAUGUUGUAAUACACAGUGUAUUGUAGUGGAGGUAAUGUUGUAAUACACAGUGUAUCGUAGUGGAGGUAAUGUUGUAAUACACAGUGUAUUAUAGUGGAGGUAAUGCUGUAAUACACAGUGUAUCAUAGUGGAGGUAAUGUUGUCAUACACAGUGUAUCAUAGUGGAGGUAAUGUUGUCAUACACAGUGUAUCAUAGUGGAGGUAAUGCUGUAAUACACAGUGUAUCACAGUGGAGGUAAUGUUGUAAUACACAGUGUAUUAUAGUAGAGGUAAUGCUGUAAUACACAGUGUAUCACAGUGGAGGUAAUGUUGUAAUACACAGUGUAUUAUAGUGGAGGUAAUGUUGUAAUACACAGUGUAUCAUAGUGGAGGUAAUGCUGUAAUACACAGUGUAUCACAGCGGAGGUAAUGUUGUAAUACACAGUGUAUUAUAGUAGAGGUAAUGUUGUAAUACACAUUGUAUUAUAGUGGAGGUAAUGUUGUAAUACACAGUGUAUUAUAGUGGAGGUAAUGUUGUAAUACACAGUGUAUUAUAGUGGGGGUAAUGUUGUAAUACACAGUGUAGCAUAGUGGUGGUAAUGUUGUAAUACACAGUGUAUCAUAGUGGUGGUAAUGUUGUAAUACACAUUGUAUUAUAGUGGAGGUAAUGUUGUAAUACACAGUGUAUUAUAGUGGAGGUAAUGUUGUAAUACACAGUGUAUUAUAGUGGAGAUAAUGUUGUAAUACACAGUGUAUUAUAGUGGAGGUCAUGUUGUAAUACACAGUGUAUUAUAGUGGAGGUCAUGUUGUAAUACACAGUGUAUUAUAGUGGAGGUAAUGUUGUAAUACACAGUGUAUUAUAGUGGGGGUAUUGUUGUAAUACACAGUGUAGCAUAGUGGUGGUAAUGUUGUAAUACACAGUGUAUCAUAGUGGAGGUAAUGUUGUAAUACACAGUGUAUCAUAGUGGAGAUAAUGAAGCAUCUCAGUUCUCCCAGUGUAAUGUGUUUUGAAUAAAGAACAAAUAA